GACGAACGCUGGCGGCGUGCCUAAUACAUGCAAGUUGAGCGCUGAAGGUUGGUACUUGUACCGACUGGAUGAGCAGCGAACGGGUGAGUAACGCGUGGGGAAUCUGCCUUUGAGCGGGGGACAACAUUUGGAAACGAAUGCUAAUACCGCAUAAAAACUUUAAACACAAGUUUUAAGUUUGAAAGAUGCAAUUGCAUCACUCAAAGAUGAUCCCGCGUUGUAUUAGCUAGUUGGUGAGGUAAAGGCUCACCAAGGCGAUGAUACAUAGCUGACCUGAGAGGGUGAUCGGCCACAUUGGGACUGAGACACGGCCCAAACUCCUACGGGAGGCAGCAGUAGGGAAUCUUCGGCAAUGGACGAAAGUCUGACCGAGCAACGCCGCGUGAGUGAAGAAGGUUUUCGGAUCGUAAAACUCUGUUGGUAGAGAAGAACGUUGGUGAGAGUGGAAAGCUCAUCAAGUGACGGUAACUACCCAGAAAGGGACGGCUAACUACGUG
rnacentral:rRNA from 1 species